CUGGGCCCCUUGGCAUGCUGGUAUUUUUCUGGAGACGCCACACUAUCUCUGGUGACUGACUGUAGGGAAGGGAGACCCAGCUGCUGUGUGGGUGUGGGAUUGUGAGAAUCCCUGUGCCUCAGGUUUGGGGUAACUAGAGGCCUUUGAUGUCUCCUAGGUCCCCCACCACCACUCAGGGCAGCACGAAUCUAAUAGUCUAAGGAUGUCCUGGGUGUGAAGGUUCCUGGGACUCAGAGAAGGAUUCUAGAAGACCCUGUGCCAUCUGUGCUUCAGUACUCCACGGUUGGGAUCAGCAUUGGACACUUUAGCGUUUGGAUGAGUCUGGAUUCCUUCAUUUCAGGGAGGAAGAUGCUCAUUUCCGGAAAAUGUCAAACCAAGAUGACAGCAGGCCCUCUGUCCCAGCACCAUGUCCCUUCACAUCCUUCACAGGAGCCCAGAAAAACCUGGUUCCAGCACGCGAGGGCCACUGUGUGGCAUGUUGGCGGAGACUGCCUCAGUCAACCAUUUGGUAGGGGCCUAGGGUCAGUGUUUACCCAAAUGGAGACAUAAGAUCAUAUUCUCACCCCACCCCGUUACCUCUCCCUUCCCUCCCUUCCUUCCCCUUCUCCUUAAUGCCCCCCCCCCCGAUUUAAAUCUAGUGAAAAAAAUCACUAAUUGAAUCUGAAAGAGAAUGUUUCUGUGUAUGAUAGUUCAGGCCUUUAAUCCUCGCAGGCUGGAGACUGAGGCGCAGGAGGGCUGUUACAGUUUGCAGAGUGAGAGCCGACUCAUUGCCUAGCAUUCGGAAGCCCUGGCUUUGAGUCAUGCCUGUAAUGCCCACACUCUGGAGGUGGGGUUUCCUUCUUCCUUGUUGCUCACUCGGAGUCUUGCUCCCACUUCCAAAACAUGGUUCCCUUUAGUGAACAGAGUUCUGAGACUUUGAAGAAGAGCUGUGUCACUUGAGUCCUGGGGCUGCUGGGUGGGUUUUAUCUGGAAAUCUGCCUUGCCUCUUAGUUUUAUUUUCACCAGAUUGUUUGGAAAUGGGGUAUGUGUCUGGGGUGGAAAGUUGUCUCCGUCCUCAGUCACUCUCAGGACAGCUGAGCCCAGCGGACGUGGACUCCGUCUCCUACAGUGAGGAUCUGUCAGAUGUCAGGUUUGUCCCUUCGGAAGCUGCUCGUGGUUGCUGAGUGGCCUCACCCGCCAAGCUGUCUGUCCAUCUUGCUAGCUGGCACACCGAUGUUCUCUCACUCUCUAGUACCAUGUCAGCUUUGCUUGUUUCUCUUCUGUUCCCCACAGGUACAUCAGUCAGAAACUCCUCUCUUGUGGUCCAGGAAGAACUGGCUUUAUUUAUCAGAUUUUAAAGAGUUUAAAUAAAAUGUUGUUUUAUGUU